rnacentral:rRNA from 1 species
AUUGAACGCUGGCGGCAGGCCUAACACAUGCACGUCGAACGAGUGGCGGACGGGUGAGUAAUGUCUGGGAAACUGCCUGAUGGCGGGGGAUAACGAUUGGAAAGGGUAGCUAAUACCACAUACCAUAGGAUGUGCCCAGAUGGGAUUAGCUAGUAGGUGGGGUAAAGGCUCACCUAGGCGACGAGCCCUAGCUGGUCGGCGAGGAUGACCAGCCACACGGGAACUUAGACACGGGCCAGACGCCUACGGGAGGCAGCAGUGGGGAAUAUUGCACAAUGGGCGCAAGCCUGAUGCAGGCAUGCCGCGUGUAUGAAGAAGGCCUUCGGGUUGUAAAGUACUUUCAGCGGGGAGGCGUUACCCGCAGAAGAAGCACCGGCUAACUCCGUGCCAGCAGCCGCGGUAAUAC